GGCGGUCCUAUACAUGCAGUAGAACGCUGAAAGGAGGAGCUUGCUUCUCUGGAUGAGUUGCGAACGGGUGAGUAACGCGUAGGUAACCUGCCUGGAUCUCGGGGGAUAACUAUUGAAAACGAUAGCUAAUACCGCAUAAUAGCACAUGUUGCAUGACAUUGGCUUAUAAUGUGCUAUUGCGUCACUACCAGAUGGACCUGCAUUGUAUUACCUAGUUGGUGGGGUAACGGCUCGCCAAGGCUACCAUACAUAACCAACCUGAGAGGAUGAUCGACCACGCUGGGACUGACACACACUCCAAACUCCUACAGAAUGCAACAGUAGGGAAUCUUCGGCAAUGGACGGAAAUCUGACCGAGCAACACCGCGCGACUGAACAAGGUUUUCGGAUCGUAUAGCUCUGUUGUAAUAUAAUAACAAAUGUGAAAGUGUAAAAUUCACACUGUGACGCUCUCUUACCAGAAAGGGACGGAUAACUACGUGCCACCACCCGCCGUAAUACGUAGGUCCCCAGCGUUGUCCAGAUUUAUUGGGCGUAAAUCGACCGCAGGCGGUUACAUAAGUCUGAAUUUAAAUGCUGUGGCUUGACCAUACUACACUUUGGAAACUGUUUAACUCUAGUGCACUAGGGGGACAGUGGAAUACAAUGUGUAUCCAUGAAAUGCGUAGAUAUAUGGAGGAACACCGAUGGCGAAAGCGGCUCUCUGGGGUUGCAACUGACUCUGAGGCUCGCUAACGUGCGGAAGCAAACAGGGAUUAAAUACCCUUGGUAUUCCACGCCCGUAACCGAUGAGUGACUAAGUGGUUACACCCUUUUCCGGCGCUUUAUUGGCCGCAUCAUAACCCCAUUAAUACACUCCUUCCUGGGGAGUACUGACCGCAAAGGGUGCAACCUCGAUAGGAAAUUCACAGGGG
rnacentral:rRNA from 1 species